ACGGGAGGCAGCAGUUAGGAAUAUUGGGCAAUGGAGGCAACUCUGACCCAGCAACGCCGCGUGAAGGAAGAAGGUCCUCGGAUUGUAAACUUCUUUUAUCAAGGACGAAGGAAGUGACGGUACCUGAUGAAUAAGCCACGGCUAACUACGUGCCAGCAGCCGCGGUAAUACGUAGGUGGCAAGCGUUAUCCGGAUUUACUGGGUGUAAAGGGCGCGUAGGCGGGGAUGCAAGUCAGAUGUGAAAUCCAUGGGCUUAACUCAUGAACUGCAUUUGAAACUGUAUCUCUUGAGUGUCGGAGAGGUAGAUGGAAUUCCUAGUGUAGCGGUGAAAUGCGUAGAUAUUAGGAGGAACACCAGUGGCGAAGGCGAUCUACUGGACGAUAACUGACGCUGAGGCGCGAAAGCGUGGGGAGCAAACAGGAUUAGAUACCCUGGUA
rnacentral:rRNA from 1 species